CGGGAAACCGGUGCUAAUNCCGGAUAAUCCUUUUCCUNUCNUGAGGAAAANCUGAAAGUCGGUUUUUAGCUGACACUUACAGAUGGGCCCGCGGCGCAUUAGCUAGUUGGUGAGGUAACGGCUCACCAAGGCGACGAUGCGUAGCCGACCUGAGAGGGUGAUCGGCCACACUGGGACUGAGACACGGCCCAGACUCCUACGGGAGGCAGCAGUAGGGAAUCUUCCACAAUGGACGAAAGUCUGAUGGAGCAACGCCGCGUGAGCGAUGAAGGCCUUCGGGUCGUAAAGCUCUGUUGUUAGGGAAGAACAAGUACCGGAGUAACUGCCGGUACCUGACGUACCUACCAGA
rnacentral:rRNA from 1 species